GCUGCCCCUGUGUGGCCACAUGCACGAACUACACUCUCGUCUCUGCCUGACCUGAUUCUGGGGAAAGGCACGUUUUCAGAGGCUGUUGAUUUCUUCAGCACUGUUUUGCAGUUCUACGACUUAGCUCCUAAAAAAUCACAGAAUCGUCCGGCGCCCACUGGGAGCCUUGGAACUUAUGCCCCUCCGAUAUCAGGGGACAACUGUAUCUCCUAAUCAAGAAGGUAUUGCUAAGUUCACUAAAUGAAUCACAAUUGAAGCCAAAAUAAAGAAUUUUAAACCAUGCCCUGAACUUUAAAAGGACCCUUUAGUAUACUCACAAAGGACCACAAGUCUGAUGGAUGAAGGAUUCUAGUUAGCAAGACAGACUCCAUAUUGCUGCUGAAUGACCCACCUGCCUGUCCCUUUAGAUGAACUCAAAAGGAGGAAGCUUAGAAACCUCCUCCCCUUAGAGAGUCUCUUAGAAACAAAAAUUAAUCAACUAUUGUUUUACAAAUGUUAUAACGACAGGAUGUUCCCCUCUAUACCUUUUGCUUGCUUUGCUAGUUCUAUCCCAUAGGGGGGCCUAGAAACCGUUGGCCUCAAAGGUGUAUAAAAUAUGUUAAUCGAGCCCCGACUGGGGGCUGGAGUCCGAUGCUCGGCUGGGGUCCGGC
rnacentral:lncRNA from 1 species